CAGUAGCCGCGGUAAUACGUAGGUGGCAAGCGUUGUCCGGAAUUAUUGGGCGUAAAGGGCUCGCAGGCGGUUUCUUAAGUCUGAUGUGAAAGCCCCCGGCUCAACCGGGGAGGGUCAUUGGAAACUGGGAAACUUGAGUGCAGAAGAGGAGAGUGGAAUUCCACGUGUAGCGGUGAAAUGCGUAGAGAUGUGGAGGAACACCAGUGGCGAAGGCGACCCUCUGGUCUGUAACUGACGCUGAGGAGCGAAAGCGUGGGGAGCGAACAGGAUUAGAUACCCGUGUAGUCCCUGUCUCUUAUAC
rnacentral:rRNA from 1 species